UGUAAAUAAUGAAAACCGCUUCAUUUAAAAGAGAAAAUACAAUUAUACAAUAAAUAAACUUUACAUGUUUCAGUAAAAUAGUAUUGAUUCUGACUUGCAGCAUAAAAGAUAUUCUUUCAUUAUAUUCUAUAUUAAUCAUCUACUAAUAUUUAGUGUAAAAAAUACUUAUGUAAAGGUACGUAUAUACUGACAUUUUAAUAUAUAUUUUAAUCAGUCUGAUUUUUACGUGCCUCGUGUACAAAUGAUCUGAAAAAAGAAAUUAUGAGAUGUCUCAAUGAAUUUUGUGAUAUAUUACUCUUAUGGUCAAUACUUACUUAAUUAUAUUAGAUAUUUAUAUAAAAAGCUGUAUCCAUACCUUUUCACCUAAAGCAAAUGGAACAAUAUUAUCAUCUUCUGCAUGUAAUAUCAUAAUAGGACAUUGGAUUUUUUCUAUGUGUUUAUCAGAUUCAAAACGGAGAUAAUUAUCAUAAAAUGGUUCAACAAUUACCCAAUGGAACCAUGGUAAAUGUUUAAAUAUCUAAAAACAAGUUUUGAAUUUUGAACUUAUUGGAAACAAUUUUCAUAAAUAGAUAUAAAAUACUUUUUAUAUAAAGUACCUGUGAUAAAGGAUGUUCACUUAAUUCAUCUGCUAUAUUAUUAAAUGGUGAUUCCAAGAAUAAACCUGCAGGCUGAACUUUUUCUGUUGCUAAUAAUGCCAAUACAUGAACUGAAACUCUGUAAUAUAAUAAUGAUCUAUAAAUUUCAAUUUUAUUAUUAAUUUUAUCACUUCAGGUAACUGUGAAAUUUAUACCCAGUUCCUAAUGAAUGUCCCCAUACAAAAACAGGAGCUGUACCAUUUACUAUUUUUAAUAACCAUUCAAGUACAUAUUUACUAUCACUAACUACACCUAUUUCAGAAAGUUCUGCUUCUUCACUAUCACCAUAACCUACAUUACAGAAGAUUGAAGUCAUAAAUAUUUAAAUAAUCAUUUAUAUUAUUUUCUAUUAAAUUAUUUUUAGGUUCCUAUAACUAACGAAAUUUUUUUCUUACCUCUAUAAUCAAAACAUAUAACAUGAUAAUCUAAAGUCUGGAAAAGUUUAUAUAAUUCUAAACGAUGAUUGCUUGCUCUAUUACCACUAUUACCAUGCAUAUAAAGGAAAAUUGGUUGUUUAGCAUUUUUUAACAUAGUUUCAUAAUCAUCAUCAGUUGUAAUAAUUGAAUCAUUUAGUAAAGACUGAGGUAAUAUUUGCCUGAAAGCAUAUUUUAUUUAAUUUGAAUGAAUUGUAUGUAUAUUUACUUAAAUAUACCAACCAUAGUCCUAUUUUUACUUGUUGAUCAGUUUGUAAAUAAAAGUUUCUUGUUCCUUUCAUUCCAACUAAUUCUGGUUUCGAAAAAUCUACAUUAAGUGGCCAUUGCACUAAAAGUACAUGUUUAAACAUAAAACUCAGUAAAUAGUCUAUAUAAACUUAUUUAUAUUUAU
rnacentral:misc_RNA from 1 species